UUUGAAAUUAGGGUUUGCUAAUUAAUUAAGCGUUACCCUAAUUAAUAUUAUAAUAAUAGCAGUAGAGCAUUAUAAUUCUCCAUUAAUUUCCCAGAUUAGGGCUUCAAUUUAUCAGAAUCUGAAACUAGGGUUUUCAGAUCAAGUAUUAGGGUUUCAGAUUUGGAAUUAGGGUUUUGUAAUCAAUUAGUUAAGAUUAACCCUAAUUAAUCUUAUAAGUAUUUACACUUAUGCCAUUAAGUUCCCGAUUUAGGGUUUCAUGCACCGAAUUAGGGUUUCGG
rnacentral:lncRNA from 1 species